AGUAGGCAUUGAACGAAAUUUCAAUCACAAGAGGCACGGACUCGCAAGCAAAACCCUCAGUUCUACUUUCGCUCCCAAGGGGAAUACACAGCAUUAAAAAUUAUAAACCAGUUCACCCAACAUUAAAAAAGUUUUCAAAACACUUUCGAGAACGGGCUGUAUGUUACUCAGCAACAGAAACGAAAAUAUACUCAGCAAAAGAAGUCCGAAUCCAUAAUAGUGUGAUGUCAAGGCGCAUAAGUUGUGUGCAUAUGAUGCAAAAUACAAUUGACAUUCAUAAGCAAGUUUAUGAUUUAUGAAACACAGUCAGAGUGCCCUGUAUUCAAUGAGAAGCAAUUUAAAAGUGGUUCAAAACUGCGGCACGCCCACACUUUUGAACAAUUUUUAAAUUUUCCAAUUUUUUUCAAUAAUAUCCCAGAUUCUUCUCUUUUUUUCAUGUCGAUACAGGGUGCUGUAUCUGUUUCAUAAGUCAUAAAUUUUUUUUAUGAGUGCAAAAAUUAGUUUUAAUACUAUUUACACCUUUCAACGCCGUGGCAUCACAAUAUUAUGGAUACGUACAUAUCUUUUGCCGACCCGUCCUUGGAAGGUGUUUAAGAACUAUUUUGAUGUUGGGUACACUGUUAUAUAUUUUUGAUGACUUUUUUUUUGGGUGUGUGAAAGUUGCAGAGCCGAGAAAUAAAUUUGUGCAACUGAUCUUUGCCGAGCUUAAAGGUGCGUGCAUAAAAUCCGACAACUGCAUUUUGUGAAUUUUGGCCCGAAAUUUGGGAGACAUAUACUAGAUAGCUCAUAGCUGCGCCAGGGAAGGUCUGGAGGCUCUUGUCCCGAAUUAUGAGAUGUUCGCUGCUGCUAAGCCUGAAUCCAAUUCGUUCUAUCCGUUUCUUUUCUAAUUAACAUCCGGUGGAGUUCACAAGUAUUUAAGUUGCUUCCCGUAUUCUAAAAUUUUAUACAAGCGGAGCCUAAGCAAUUUCAGGUCACGAAAAGUACCAGCGAAGGUAGCAAGGUAACCGUCUGGCGUCGGCCAGUAUUGAAGUCAGAGUUUAGAUCUGGGAGACCCCCCAAGUGUUCAGCAAAUACACUCAUCCAGCGGAUUGAACCCGAGGAGCACAUGACGGGCUAGGAAGGAUCAUAUGAAUGUAGUGCAGUUUCUUCAGUGGACGGCUAUGCAGUUGCGGAGAAUUUUCUUGGAGUUUGGCAGUGAUCGAUGGUUCAAAUGACCCUUUAAAACAAAUUUCAAUAAUGUGCCUUGACCUUGACCUACAUCGCAUGGCAAGAUUUUUUCUAUGAUUUUUAAAUGUGCACUUUUGCUGAAGCCAAGAAUAAUGAGAACUGUCAUUGAAAUUAUAAACAAGAAAAAUAUUAUAAUAAAAUAUUUAAGUAAAUCCAA